rnacentral:rRNA from 1 species
GAUGAACGCUGGCGGCGUGCCUAAUACAUGCAAGUCGAGCGAACGGACGAGAAGCUUGCUUCUCUGAUGUUAGCGGCGGACGGGUGAGUAACACGUGGAUAACCUACCUAUAAGACUGGGAUAACUUCGGAAAACCGGAGCUAAUACCGGAUAAUAUUUUGAACCGCAUGGUUCAAAAGUGAAAGACGGUCUUGCUGUCACUUAUAGAUGGAUCCGCGCUGCAUUAGCUAGUUGGUAAGGUAACGGCUUACCAAGGCAACGAUGCAUAGCCGACCUGAGAGGGUGAUCGGCCACACUGGAACUGAGGCACGGUCCAGACUCAUACGGGAGGCAGCAGUAGGGAAUCUUCCGCAAUGGGCGAAAGCCUGACGGAGCAACGCCGCGUGAGUGAUGAAGGUCUUCGGAUCGUAAAACUCUGUUAUUAGGGAAGAACAUAUGUGUAAGUAACUGUGCACAUCUUGACGGUACCUAAUCAGAAAGCCACGGCUAACUACGUG